rnacentral:rRNA from 1 species
GACGAACGCUGGCGGCGUGCCUAAUACAUGCAAGUAGAACGCUGAAGCGAGGAGCUUGCUCUUCUUGGAUGAGUUGCGAACGGGUGAGUAACGCGUAGGUAACCUGCCUUGUAGCGGGGGAUAACUAUUGGAAACGAUAGCUAAUACCGCAUAACAAUGGAUGACACAUGUCAUUUAAUUGAAAGGGGCAAUUGCUCCACCAUAAGAUGGACCUGCGUUGUAUUAGCUAGUAGGUGAGGUAACGGCUCACCUAGGCGACGAUUCAUAGCCGGCCUGAGAGGGUGGACGGCCAAACUGGGACUGGGACACGGCCCAAGCUCCUACGGGAAGCAGCAGGAGGGGAUCUUCGGCAAUGGGGGCAACCCUGACCGAGCAACGGCGCGUGGGUGAAGGAGGUUUUCGGAUCGUAAAACUCUGUUGUAAGGCGAGAACGAGUGUUGGAGUGGAAAGUUCACACUGUGACGGUAGCUUACCAGAAAGGGACGGCUAACUACGUG